UACGUAGGGGGCAAGCGUUGUCCGGAUUGAUUGGGCGUAAAGAGCGUGUAGGCGGCCAGGUAGGUCAGCUGUGAAAACUCGAGGCUCAACCUCGAGACGUCGGUUGAAACCACCUGGCUAGAGUCCGGAAGAGGAGAGUGGAAUUCCUGGUGUAGCGGUGAAAUGCGCAGAGAUCAGGAAGAACACCCGUGGCGAAGGCGGCUCUCUGGGACGGUACUGACGCUGAGACGCGAAAGCGUGGGGAGCGAACAGG
rnacentral:rRNA from 1 species